rnacentral:rRNA from 1 species
AUCUUUUUCGGCAGGUUUCAUUUUUCCAUGUACUUUGCAAACCUUGCAAUCGGGAAACUCUUCACAGAUGUGCAGAUAACCUUCUUCCAAAUUCUUGAGGUCAAUCUUCUCACUCUCCUUGAUUAAAGGAUAAACGAUAUAGACCUGGCGUCCUUCAUCAAUCUGUUUACGCACAGAACGAUACAGGCUUACACGAUGGCUAUCGAACUGGUGGAUAGUAGCAAUCGGCUUUCUUCCCGGAGGAAGCUCGUCAAUAACCGAUACAUCCAGAUCACCAUAAAGCGUCAUUGCCAACGUUCGCGGUAUGGGGGUUGCGGUCAUUACCAGUAUGUGAGGCGGCUGUACGCUUUUUGCCCACAAGCGGGCACGCUGAGCUACGCCAAAACGAUGCUGUUCGUCGAUGACAACCAGACCCAAUGAUGCAAAGUUCACGGUAUCUUCAAUGACGGCGUGCCUAUUGAAGAAUGAGCCAACGAGUUACGGGCACCAGCGAGGUUAAGCAGGAAAUGCGGAGCCGUAGGGAAACCGAGUCUGAAAAGGGCGGAUAGUUGGUGUUCGUAGACCCGAAACUGUAGUGAUCUACCCAUGAUCAGGUUGAAGCACGGGUAAAAUCGUGUGGAGGACCGAACCGGUGAGUGUUGAAAAACUUUCGGAUGAAUCGUGGGUAGCGGUGAAAUUCCAAUCGAACGCAGAGAUAGCUGGUUCUCCUCGAAAUAGCUUUAGGGCUAGCCUCAGGCAGUAAGCAUAGGCGGUAGAGCACUGAUCGGGAUAGGGACUGUAAUGGUUACCGAACCCUGUCAAACUACGAAUGGCUAUGCUGCAGAGCCUGGGAGUCAGACUACGAGAGAUAAGUCCCGUUGUCAAAAGGGAAACAGCCCAGACCAUCAGCUAAGGUCCCCAAUGCCAUACUAAGUGGAAAAGGAUGUGGGGUCUCAUAAACAACCAGGAUGUUGGCUCAGAAGCAGCCACCAUUUAAAGAGUGCGUAAUAGCUCACUGGUCGAGAGGCCCUGCGCCGAAGAUUCCCGGGGCUAAAGUAUGGAACCGAAGCUAUGGAUGCAGGUUUAGGCCUGCGUGGUAGAGGAGCGUUCCCAUCGGGCUGAAGCCGUACUGGAAGGUGCGGUGGACUGGUGGGAAGUGAGAAUGUUGGCAUGAGUAGCGAAAAGAAUGGUGAGAAUCCAUUCCACCGAAAGCAUAAGGAUUCCUGAGCAACGAUCGUCGUCUCAGGGUAAGUCGGGACCUAAUCCGAGGCAAAGAGCGUAGGAGAUGGACAACUGGUUGAUAUUCCAGUACCGGCAGUGAUCGUUUGAACGAAGGAGUGACGCAGGAAGGCAGGUCCGCACGAGAUUGGUAGAUCGUGUGCAAGCGUGUAGGCUGGUUGCCAGGCAAAUCCGGUAACUGAGGCUGAGGCGUGACGCGGAGGGAACUUGUUCCCGAAGGGAUUGAGCCUACGCUGCCGAGAAAAGCUUCUAGUGAGAAAGCUGCCGCCCGUACCGUAAACCGACACAGGUAUGCGGGGAGAGAAUCCUAAGGUGCGCGGGAGAACCCUCGUUAAGGAACUCGGCAAAAUGUACCCGUAACUUCGGGAUAAGGGUAGCCACAAAGGUGAAGGGACUCGCUCCUGGAGCCCGGUGUGGUCGCAGAGAAGAGGCCCAAGCGACUGUUAACCAGAAACACAGGUGCCUGCGAAAGAGAAAUCUGAAGUAUAGGUGCUGACACCUGCCCAGUGCUGGAAGGUUAAAGAAGGAUGUCCGGGUUCGACCCAAAGCAUUCGACUGAAGCCCCAGUGAACGGCGGCCGUAACUAUAACGGUCCUAAGGUAGCGAAAUUCCUUGUCGGGUAAGUUCCGACCCGCACGAAAGGUGUAACGAUUUGGGCACUGUCUCAACGAGGGACCCGGUGAAAUUGAAAUACCUGUGAAGAUGCAGGUUACCCGCGACUGGACAGAAAGACCCCAUGGAGCUUUACUGUAACCUAAUAUUGGGUUCUGAUACUUGAUGCACAGGAUAGGUGGGAGGCAUGGAAGGCAGUCCUCUGGGAUUGCCGGAGCCGCCGUUGGGAUACCACCCUUCAAUUAUCGGGAUUCUAACCGAGCGAGCAACGAUCGCCGGGACAGUGUUAGGCGGGCAGUUUGACUGGGGCGGUCGCCUCCUAAAGAGUAACGGAGGCGCCCAAAGGUUCCCUCAGCGCGGACGGAAACCGCGCGCACCAUUUCAAGACAGACUCCAAACUGGAAACAGUACGUUCGGCGAGGCCUACGAAUUUUAACCUGAUUUGCGGUCUGCGUAUGACCUAUUAACCAUUUAGUACGGAUGUUAUGAAAAAAACAUUUUUAAUGCUGCUCACACUUGUUCUGUCAUUGCUUACUUGCGUAAGUUGCAGCGAAGAGACAUUAGAUUACAACAACCCCGAUGUAGACCUUUUCGUAAGGCAACUCAAAGCGGGAAAUUACAAUACCAAGAGUCCGAAGGGCUUUGUAGAAGUACCUAAAUUUACGGAGAAGGAUAUUCCGACAUUGCUCAAUUAUGCCGAAGAUCUGACUUUGAUCACUUCUUUUCCGCUUCCGCCGGUGUCUGCUUAUUAUAGUGGCAAGGUCCGCUUGGGUGAAUGUAUGUUGUGGGUUGUGGAAACCAUCCGGUUAGGUCAUUAUGCUUCGUUUGGCUGCAAAAUGGUGAGAGCCAAUGCCGAGAACUAUGAAGGUAUCUAUUUCCUGACUGAUGAAGAGUUGCUCGAUGCUGCUGCCCGAUACCGUCGCUGGU